rnacentral:rRNA from 1 species
UGGCUCAGGAUUGACGCUGGCGGCAGGCCUAACACAUGCAAGUCGAGCGGAAACGACAACAUCGAUCUUCGGAGGAUUUCAUGGGCGUCGAGCGGCGGACGGGUGAGUAAUGCCUAGGAAAUUGCCCUGAUGUGGGGGAUAACCAUUGGAAACGAUGGCUAAUACCGCAUAAUGCCUACGGGCCAAAGAGGGGGACCUUCGGGCCUCUCGCGUCAAGAUAUGCCUAGGUGGGAUUAGCUAGUUGGUGAGGUAAUGGCUCACCAAGGCGACGAUCCCUAGCUGGUCUGAGAGGAUGAUCAGCCACACUGGAACUGAGACACGGUCCAGACUCCUACGGGAGGCAGCAGUGGGGAAUAUUGCACAAUGGGCGAAAGCCUGAUGCAGCCAUGCCGCGUGUAUGAAGAAGGCCUUCGGGUUGUAAAGUACUUUCAGUUGUGAGGAAGGGUGUGUAGUUAAUAGCUGCGCAUCUUGACGUUAGCAACAGA